rnacentral:rRNA from 1 species
AGCGAACGCUGGCGGCGUGCCUAACACAUGCAAGUCGAACGUGAAAGGGGGCAACCCUGAGUAAAGUGGCGUACGGGUGAGUAACGCGUAGGUAAUCUACCAGAGAGUCUGGAAUAACCUGCCGAAAGGCGGGCUAAUACUGGAUAGAGCGACGGAAUCCGUAAUUGGGUUUUUCGGGAAAGGGAGGACGCAAGUCCCUUCGCUCUCUGAUGAGCCUGCGUCUCAUUAGCUAGUUGGUGGGGUAACGGCCCACCAAGGCAUUGAUGGGUAGCUGGUC